rnacentral:rRNA from 1 species
AAAUUGACGGGGGCCCGCACAAGCGUGGAGCAUGUGGUUUAAUUCGAAGCAACGCGAAGAACCUUACCAGGUCUUGACAUCCCGAUGCUAUUUCUAGAGAUAGAAAGUUACUUCGGUACAUCGGUGACAGGUGGUGCAUGGUUGUCGUCAGCUCGUGUCGUGAGAUGUUGGGUUAAGUCCCGCAACGAGCGCAACCCCUAUUGUUAGUUGCCAUCAUUCAGUUGGGCACUCUAGCGAGACUGCCGGUAAUAAACCGGAGGAAGGUGGGAUGACGUCAAAUCAUCAUGCCCCUUAUGACCUGGGCUACACACGUGCUACAAUGGUUGGUACAACGAGUUGCGAGUCGGUGACGGCGAGCUAAUCUCUUAAAGCCAAUCUCAGUUCGGAUUGUAGGCUGCAACUCGCCUACAUGAAGUCGGAAUCGCUAGUAAUCGCGGAUCAGCACGCCGCGGUGAAUACGUUCCCGGGCCUU